rnacentral:SRP_RNA from 1 species
UUCUAGGGCAUCUCAAUAAAAGACUAUGAACCUUGUCAGGUCCGGAAGGAAGCAGCAAUAAGUAGACACUUUUAUGUGGGGUACCUUAGAAUAA